GUUGCAGUUAAAAGCUCGUAGUUGGAUCUAGGGACGCGCAUUUCAAGCGUCCGCACUAUCGGGUCAAACCGGUAGUGCGUGGCGUUGCGGGCUCGGUCCGUUGGUGCCUACUAAAGCAUCAGCGUGUCAACCGGCCCGCCCGUCCCCUCCUUCUGGAUUCCCGUUCCUGCUAUUGAGUUAGUGGGGACGUCACAGGGGGUCCAUCGUCGGUCAGCAAUGGCCGGCGGUGGAUCCCUGGGGCCCAGAUCGUUUACCGUGAAAAAAUUAGAGUGUUCAAAGCAGGCAGAUCCAAUUUUCUGCCACCGAAUACAUUAGCAUGGGAUAAUGGAAUAGGACCCUGUCCUCCUAUUUUCAGUUGGUUUUGGCACGCGAGGACCAGGGUAAUGAUUAAUAGGGAUAGUUGGGGGCAUUAAUAUUUAAUUGUCAGAGGUGAAAUUCUUGGAUUUAUGAAAGAUUAACUUCUGCGAAAGCAUCUGCCAAGGAUGUUUUCAUUAAUCAAGAACGAAAGUUAGGGGAUCGAAGACGAUCAGAUACCGUCGUAGUCUUAACCAUAAACGAUGCCGACCAGCGAUUAGGAGACGUUGAAUACAAAACACCACCAUCGGUGCGGUCGUCCUUGGCGCGUCGCGGCUUGCCGUGGCGUGCGAGGGCGGUUUAGCCUGAUGGCAUCGGUGAAUGACUCCCCUAGCAGCUUGUGAGAAAUCAUAAGUCUUUGGGUUCCGGGGGGAGUAUGGUCGCAAGGCUGAAACUUAAAGGAAUUGACGGAAGGGCACACCAGGAGUGGAG
rnacentral:rRNA from 1 species